AUUGGGGACAACAGUUGGAAACGACUGCUAAUACCGAAUGUGCCUUAGGGUGAAAGAUUUAUUGUCUAGAGAUUGGCUCGCGUCAGAUUAGCUAGUUGGAGUGGUAACGGCACACCAAGGCGACGAUCUGUACUUGGUCUGAGAGGAUGACCAGGCACACUGGAACUGAGACACGGUCCAGACUCCUACGGGAGGCAGCAGUGGGGAAUUUUCCGCAAUGGGCGAAAGCCUGACGGAGCAAUACCGCGUGAGGGAGGACGGCUUUUGGGUUGUAAACCUCUUUUAUCAGGGAAGAAUCGAUGACGGUACCUGAUGAAUCAGCAUCGGCUAACUCCGUGCCAGCAGCCGCGGUAAUACGGAGGAUGCAAGCGUUAUCCGGAAUUAUUGGGCGUAAAGCGUCCGUAGGUGGUUUAUCAAGUCUGCUGUCAAAGCGUGCGGCUUAACCGCAUAAGGGCAGUGGAAACUGAUGAACUAGAGUGCGAUAGGGGUAACAGGAAUUCCCAGUGUAGCGGUGAAAUGCGUAGAUAUUGGGAAGAACACCAGCGGCGAAAGCGUGUUACU
rnacentral:rRNA from 1 species